CAGUCGAAUGGUAACAGGUUAAGCUGACGAGUGGCGAACGGGUGAGUAAUAUAUCGGAACGUGCCCAGUCGUGGGGGAUAACUGCUCGAAAGAGCAGCUAAUACCGCAUACGACCUGAGGGUGAAAGCGGGGGAUCGUAAGACCUCGCGCGAUUGGAGCGGCCGAUAUCAGAUUAGGUAGUUGGUGGGGUAAAGGCUCACCAAGCCAACGAUCUGUAGCUGGUCUGAGGGGACGACCAGCCACACUGGGACUGAGACACGGCCCAGACUCCUACGGGAGGCAGCAGUGGGGAAUUUUGGACAAUGGACGCAAGUCUGAUCCAGCCAUGCCGCGUGCGGGAAGAAGGCCUUCGGGUUGUAAACCGCUUUUGUCAGGGAAGAAAAGGUUCUGGUUAAUACCUGGGACUCAUGACGGUACCUGAAGAAUAAGCACCGGCUAACUACGUGCCAGCAGCCGCGGUAAUACGUAGGGUGUAAGCGUUAAUCGGAAUUACUGGGCGUAAAGCGUGCGCAGGCGGUUAUGCAAGACAGAGGUGAAAUCCCCGGGCUCAACCUGGGAACUGCCUUUGUGACUGCAUAGCUAGAGUACGGUAGAGGGGGAUGGAAUUCCGCGUGUAGCAGUGAAAUGCGUAGAUAUGCGGAGGAACACCGAUGGCGAAGGCAAUCCCCUGGACCUGUACUGACGCUCAUGCACGAAAGCG
rnacentral:rRNA from 1 species